GAUGAAGAACGUAGCAAAAUGCGACAAGUAAUGCGAAUUGCAGAAUUUCCGUGAGUCAUCGAAUCUUUGAACGCACAUUGCGCCCACUGGUAUUCCGGUGGGCAUGCCUGUUCGAGCGUCAUUAUCCUCCCUCAAACCCCGGGUUUGGUGUUGGACCCAAGUUGUGUGAACAACUGGUCUCAAAGACAAUGACGGCGUCCGUGGGACCCUCGGUGCAACGAGCUUUUAGGAGCACGCGCCGAGUUGCAAGGACCUUCCGGGCCGGUCUCCUUUACUAUUUUACAAGGUUGACCUCGGAUCAGGUAGGAAUACCCGCUGAACUUAAGCAUAUCAAUAAGCGGAGGA
rnacentral:misc_RNA from 1 species